UCGCAGGCGAAACCUGCAGCUGGCGGCGAGCUCCCCAGCGCGCGCCUCACGCUGGCCGAGCCAUCCCUGGAGAGGAGGCUGGCGCUCGCAACAGGAGCCUGGCGCAGCUCGCGGCGAGGUUCCCCGUUAGUGAGUGAUUCCACAAGUGUCCAUUAUGGGGUUUCCUGCAUCUUCCUCUGCUACUGGCCCCUUUUGGAAAGAGGAUACCAGAAAUCAGCUUUUCAUGUCAGGAAAUCAUCUCUUUAACCAGGGCUGCUGACCAUCUUCAAGAAAUUCACUAAAAUGGACACCAGAGGAACUCAACAGAAAGAUCUUUAUAUAAGGACACCAUGGAACCUGGAUGAGCUUCAGGGAUUUACAAGGUUACAGUUGCCUUGACAGGUUCAAUACCACAGCAAUCCUAAAGGAAUAAAGAAGUGAAGAAAACACACUGUGUAGAUAAGGUUACACCUAGUGCAGAAAUGGACUUACUGUAGAUUACUAUGCUACUCAUCACACCCAAAAGAUAGCCUUUUGGUUAGUGGGCAUGCAGAACUGAAACAUGAAUAGUGUUCCAAUUACUAGAAAUGAAUAAACCAAUAUUUAUUCCAAGUGGAGCCCAAAGGUCUGCAAGUUAGAAGGAUCACCAAAGAAGAACUAAUAGUAAAAAAGGGAGGUACUUUUCCAGGGAUAGAUUAUCCCUUCCUUUUUCCCCCACAGCAGAGGGGAUGAAAACCAAUGGAAGUGUCCUGAUUUUGGUUUGUAUACAGAGGGAUUGAUCAUAAGUGGCAUCAUACUCUAUUCCUUCAAGUCUCCAGAAUCCCCUGUACGUGAUCUGUGUGUGUUUGGAGCUUUGUGACACACAGGGUAGUUGAAGGUGGCAGAGUUACAACAUUAUCACUCUCUAUGCCAUCCUGAUCCUCCAUAUCCAUG